UUCUCCAGCGAGCUCACUCUGUGUUUGCACGCCACACCAAUCAGGUUGCUAACAAGUGUUUGUGUAUCAUUCAAAGUUAUCGGCACCUAAAGUGUUUCAUUCUGACUACAAGAAUGUUUCAAGGAAAAACUCUCAAGAUGGUGAAGUUGGGAGUUGUGUUAUUGGUUGUGAUCUACCCAAAUCCUGGGUGGACUAGUUCAAACGGAUGUGGGCAACUUGUUGUGGAUGAAGCUGGGGAUAAAAUAUGUCAGCCAAGAUCUACCUGCGCAUUCUUUUUUGAUAAUUUCAAACCUCUCGACGGUCCUCAAUGCAACCAUUCUCGGACUAACUACAAAUGCCUUUGCAAUGGCGCGGGCACUCCGUGUCCAGUUGACCGCAGCCAUCGCAUCUACGUUGGUUCUGGGAAAAGCGAAUAUACGUGUGAACUCACCUGCGACAUCCCAUGGUGCGGCAGUAGAAACAAAAUGCCACAGUAAGCCACGAUUUGUCAAGUGCUAACCGAUAUACCACACUUGAAUGCAGAUGUCCUAGGCAUCACAACUCUACAUUGACUGGAAGGCAACGAGCUACUAAACUUGACGGAAGCACUGUUGGGUGUGACUACGAAGACAGUGAAGAGAUCACCGACCCGUGUCCGCAUACGGGCUGAGAUGUCAAAUUCAGUGACUUGAGUGAUGAGAAACCUGGAAACAUUAAACCUAAAAUAUUUCGCGUUCAUAAACACAUCUCGGAAGAGGUUUAGUGUGUGGUCAAACUCCACAACAUAUUGAUGUACUAGUCUCUCAUUUCUUGGAGUUUAUUUUGUUUGUCUCAAAGUAUUUUCUAAAAUUUAUUUGAAUGAUAACAACAAGUUGGGAAUCAGACCAAUCGAACCUGAGUUAUGAUAGUUUAUGUCAAAUUUAUCAAAAUAAGAUUUUAAGAUAAAAUUAAUUUUAUUUUCCAUUUUUAAGCACUAAUUUUAUUAGACAAUUGAAUCACACAAAUAUGUUUUUCUAUAAACUGUAAUUAAUAAAAUCUCAAAUUCCAUUGCCUAGACCUUUGGUUUUCAAACUCUUGUCACUGUACCGACCUUUAAUAAAAA